GGGUUGGGAGUAUAUGUGGAAACACAGGGAGACUCAUUGAGCUUUAGAACUGUGAAAAUAAAGGAAUCUACCAGGAUGCCUGAUCAUCGGGAAAUAAAACAUAAGAAAACAAAUAAGAAAUGUGUUCAAUCUCGGUGCUGAUAUCUUUUUUUAUGACAGAAUACAGGCUCCACAAGGCCAGGGAUCUUCGGAUUUGAUUCCAUGGUAUCCUGAGACCUUCAAGCCGUGGAUGACACAUAAUAGACAUUAAAAAAAUGUUGGAUGAAUGGAAUCUGUAUGGCAUCCCUCCAAUCCCAGAGAUGUGGCCCGCUCGGCACCGGGAAAGAAAUGCAAGAAGGUCUUUAUCAGUCAGGUACCCUACAGGUAGUUCUGGGCUUCAAGAAGGAAUGAUUCCAUCAUGUCCACCAGUUCCACGCUGUUGAAAACCGGCAACAAGACGUGCUUGCUGACCCUUCCUAUCCCAGAGCCACAAUCCAAAGCACAGUCUGUUCCAGCUCUCCCAGGGCCCUGCAGAAAGGUAUUUUGUGGGAUACUUCAAAUACAGACAACCCCCUCUGAGUCUAGCACACUCCAAUUGCCACUUUAAACAACUUUAUUUUGGUCAGUUUCAUGUAAUAAA